rnacentral:rRNA from 1 species
UACGAAGGGGGCUAGCGUUGUUCGGAAUUACUGGGCGUAAAGCGUGCGCAGGCGGCUUCUCAAGUCAGGGGUGAAAGCCCAGAGCUCAACUCUGGAAUUGCCUUUGAGACUGAGUGGCUUGAGUACGAGAGAGGUGAGUGGAAUUCCCAGUGUAGAGGUGAAAUUCGUAGAUAUUGGGAAGAACACCGGUGGCGAAGGCGACUCACUGGCUCGUAACUGACGCUCAUGCACGACAGCGUGGGGAUCAAACAGG